GGAGGGAGGGCGUUCACCGCAGACUUGCCAAGACGGUUUUGCUGGCUUCCUUCUGACGGGGUCGGGUGUGCUCCCAAGUCCGACGUGCUCCGAGGUGGUUGAGAGCUGAUUUGCUCCCCUCCCCCUCCCCUGCCACCUUUAAUGCUUAGUUCCUUCGUUUUGCUAAGUCCUGACACCACGGGCAGCACGGAGGGUUCUCUCGGAUGCAGGAUGCACCGGCCAGUCGGUCGGGCGGCUAGACCACAAGGCUGCGCAGGGGGCGGGGGGCCUUGGACCAACUUUGACUUGGCCUUCUGCGACCCGUGCUGACGUCACGGCCCCAGGACCCGUUCGGUCAGCGGAGGAGAAGCCCCUGGGUCUCGGGAGUCGGGUCUAGGCCGACGCGGACGCACACAACUGUUAGGCGCACCGAGCCUGCCUCGGUCCGCAGUCCCUCCCGCCAGGCGGACCCGCAGCUGGGGCAGGAGGAAAGCGAGAUCAACAGGAUCCCAUUGCAGAACCACGCGCCUGCGAGGGUCGGGAUGCGCCCUGUCCAAGAAGCCAACGGAGGACCCGGCCCGAGGAGACGUGACCGGGCGAUGAACCUCAGAAUCUGGCGGACAACUUCCAGAAAGUUUGCCAGGCCAGUCUGAAGGGAGCUGGGACCCGAAGAGUAGAGAAUAGCAACCUGGUUGCGGGGCUACCGAGGAAGUUCCUUCUCUGCUGCCGGAGAAAAGAUUUGGUAGGAAGUGAAGAGUCUGAAGAUGCAGGUGGAGUUGGGGUGCGGUGAAGUCCUCCGCAUUAGGCGCUCAGGACCCCCCCCCCCACACACACACACACACAAUUCCCCAGGGUCAGAUGGCAGAGUAACUCUACUUAUGCUUGAGCGCUGGCCUGUUGGAGGGAGGGGCGGGAAGGCACCGUGCGCUGCCUGCCUGCUUUUGUUGUUUUUGGUUUUUUUUGGGGGGGGGGCAGUUUUGCAGACAUUUUAAACCCCGAAACGAAGUAACCUACCACAGAUCUGCUUAGUUUUCUGGGAAGCAGUGGCCUAAUACCCUUUCUCGCGCUUGAGGCCAGAGUCCUGCACUUAGACGAACUCACGGGAGCCAAUGGUUGCGGGAAUCCAAGCUCUGGCGUGGACCUAGAUCGAACCUUCUUUUCUUAAGAGCAGGUGGUAUCGCACCCUGGAACCCAGCCCAGGCCAAACUACAUGAUCUCUCCCCCUUUUCUGGUGCUCUAAGUUGGUAUCUCCACAGGUCUGAGACGCUUUCUUUCCACAAGCUGAGGUUGGUGGUGUUCGGGUAAAGAACGUUAUGGACGGAAGCAGAAAAAAACCCGUUCUGGGCUGAGAUAACCGUGCCCACCCCGUAGGACGCCUCUGCCCAGCUUCCCAGGCCACUCAUGCUGUUAGCAUCUGCUAAUAUGAGCAGCUGCCCAGAAGAGACUGGAAGUGAAGGCCCACUUGAGCCGCUAGCCUCAGGGAGAGCAUGCCCAGGUUGAGGCAACAGUAUGAGCCCCCCACCCAACACUACACACACACACACACACACACACACACACACCCUAACACAACUCACUGUAGGUUUGGACACACCUUCAUGCACACAUCUUGUACAUAUGAAGUGGACGCCCAUGGGGGGCGCGCUCACCUCUGAUGUGGCCCUCUCAUCCAAGGGACCCUUUCAAAAAGUUUGGCCUCACAGUAUGCUCUCAUAAACACGUUGCCUGCAGGCACAACCACUUGGUGGUGAGUGAUCUCAAACUCAGACGCCUGCAGAAUCCCACGUCGUGAGCCUGCACCCUCAACAUUGAGCAUAACUAUCUCAGCACGGAACCUUAGACCUCCUCCGUCUGCUGGGAUAGAGACCUUCACUCCAAAUGAAGUGGUUGACAGAGAGGGCCCAACUCACUUUCAGAAGUGUCCUCAGCUCAGAGUCAU